UAAGCGACUAAGCGUACACGGUGGAUGCCCUGGCAGUCAGAGGCGAUGAAGGACGUGCUAAUCUGCGAAAAGCGCCGGCGAGGUGAUAUGAACCUUUGACCCGGCGAUGUCCGAAUGGGGAAACCCAGUGUGAUUCGUCACACUAUCGUUAACUGAAUACAUAGGUUAACGAGGCGAACCGGGGGAACUGAAACAUCUAAGUACCCCGAGGAAAAGAAAUCAACCGAGAUUCCCCCAGUAGCGGCGAGCGAACGGGGAGCAGCCCGGAGUCUGAAUCAGCUUGUGUGUUAGUGGAACGGUCUGGAAAGUCCGACGGUACAGGGUGAUAGUCCCGUACACGAAAAUGCACAGGUUGUGAACUCGAAGAGUAGGGCGGGACACGUGGUAUCCUGUCUGAAUAUGGGGGGACCAUCCUCCAAGGCUAAAUACUCCUGACUGACCGAUAGUGAACCAGUACCGUGAGGGAAAGGCGAAAAGAACCCCGGCGAGGGGAGUGAAAAAGAACCUGAAACCGUGUACGUACAAGCAGUGGGAGCCUACUUGUUAGGUGACUGCGUACCUUUUGUAUAAUGGGUCAGCGACUUAUAUUCUGUAGCAAGGUUAACCGUAUAGGGGAGCCGAAGGGAAACCGAGUCUUAACUGGGCGUUAAGUUGCAGGGUAUAGACCCGAAACCCGGUGAUCUAGCCAUGGGCAGGUUGAAGGUUGGGUAACACUAACUGGAGGACCGAACCGACUAAUGUUGAAAAAUUAGCGGAUGACCUGUGGCUGGGGGUGAAAGGCCAAUCAAACCGGGAGAUAGCUGGUUCUCCCCGAAAGCUAUUUAGGUAGCGCCUCGUGAACUCAUCUUCGGGGGUAGAGCACUGUUUCGGCUAGGGGGCCAUCCCGGCUUACCAACCCGAUGCAAACUACGAAUACCGAAGAAUGUUAUCACGGGAGACACACGGCGGGUGCUAACGUCCGUCGUGAAGAGGGAAACAACCCAGACCGCCAGCUAAGGUCCCAAAGUCAUGGUUAAGUGGGAAACGAUGUGGGAAGGCACAGACAGCCAGGAUGUUGGCUUAGAAGCAGCCAUCAUUUAAAGAAAGCGUAAUAGCUCACUGGUCGAGUCGGCCUGCGCGGAAGAUGUAACGGGGCUAAACCAUGCACCGAAGCUGCGGCAGCGACGCUUAUGCGUUGUUGGGUAGGGGAGCGUUCUGUAAGCCGUUGAAGGUGGCCUGUGAGGGUUGCUGGAGGUAUCAGAAGUGCGAAUGCUGACAUAAGUAACGAUAAAGCGGGUGAAAAGCCCGCUCGCCGGAAGACCAAGGGUUCCUGUCCAACGUUAAUCGGGGCAGGGUGAGUCGACCCCUAAGGCGAGGCCGAAAGGCGUAGUCGAUGGGAAACAGGUUAAUAUUCCUGUACUUGGUGUUACUGCGAAGGGGGGACGGAGAAGGCUAUGUUAGCCGGGCGACGGUUGUCCCGGUUUAAGCAUGUAGGCGGAGGUUCCAGGUAAAUCCGGUACCUUUUUAACGCUGAGGUGUGAUGACGAGGCACUACGGUGCUGAAGUAACAAAUGCCCUGCUUCCAGGAAAAGCCUCUAAGCAUCAGGUAACACGAAAUCGUACCCCAAACCGACACAGGUGGUCAGGUAGAGAAUACCAAGGCGCUUGAGAGAACUCGGGUGAAGGAACUAGGCAAAAUGGUGCCGUAACUUCGGGAGAAGGCACGCUGAUAUGUAGGUGAAGCCCCUGCGGGUGGAGCUGAAAUCAGUCGAAGAUACCAGCUGGCUGCAACUGUUUAUUAAAAACACAGCACUGUGCAAACACGAAAGUGGACGUAUACGGUGUGACGCCUGCCCGGUGCCGGAAGGUUAAUUGAUGGGGUUAGCGGUAACGCGAAGCUCUUGAUCGAAGCCCCGGUAAACGGCGGCCGUAACUAUAACGGUCCUAAGGUAGCGAAAUUCCUUGUCGGGUAAGUUCCGACCUGCACGAAUGGCGUAAUGAUGGCCAGGCUGUCUCCACCCGAGACUCAGUGAAAUUGAACUCGCUGUGAAGAUGCAGUGUACCCGCGGCAAGACGGAAAGACCCCGUGAACCUUUACUAUAGCUUGACACUGAACACUGGUCCUUGAUGUGUAGGAUAGGUGGGAGGCUUUGAAGCGUGGACGCCAGUCUGCGUGGAGCCAACCUUGAAAUACCACCCUUUAAUGGCUGGUGUUCUAACGUAGACCCGUGAUCCGGGUUGCGGACAGUGUCUGGUGGGUAGUUUGACUGGGGCGGUCUCCUCCCAAAGAGUAACGGAGGAGCACGAAGGUUAGCUAAUCCUGGUCGGACAUCAGGAGGUUAGUGCAAUGGCAUAAGCUAGCUUGACUGCGAGAGUGACGGCUCGAGCAGGUGCGAAAGCAGGUCAUAGUGAUCCGGUGGUUCUGAAUGGAAGGGCCAUCGCUCAACGGAUAAAAGGUACUCCGGGGAUAACAGGCUGAUACCGCCCAAGAGUUCAUAUCGACGGCGGUGUUUGGCACCUCGAUGUCGGCUCAUCACAUCCUGGGGCUGAAGUAGGUCCCAAGGGUAUGGCUGUUCGCCAUUUAAAGUGGUACGCGAGCUGGGUUUAGAACGUCGUGAGACAGUUCGGUCCCUAUCUGCCGUGGGCGCUGGAGAAUUGAGGGGGGCUGCUCCUAGUACGAGAGGACCGGAGUGGACGCAUCACUGGUGUUCGGGUUGUCAUGCCAAUGGCACUGCCCGGUAGCUAAAUGCGGAAGAGAUAAGUGCUGAAAGCAUCUAAGCACGAAACUUGCCCCGAGAUGAGUUCUCCCUGAGACUUUAAGUCUCCUGAAGGAACGUUGAAGACGACGACGUUGAUAGGUCGGGUGUGUAAGCGCAGCGAUGCGUUGAGCUAACCGAUACUAAUGAACCGUGAGGCUUAACCU
rnacentral:rRNA from 1 species